GUCGAGCGCAGGAAGCUCACGGAACUCUUCGGAGGGAAGUGAAGGGAAUGAGCGGCGGACGGGUGAGUAACACGUAAGGAACCUGCCCCAAGGAUUGGGAUAACUCCGAGAAAUCGGAGCUAAUACCGAAUAGUUCUUCAGACCGCAUGGUCUGAUGAUGAAAGGCGCUCCGGCGUCACCUUGGGAUGGCCUUGCGGUGCAUUAGCUAGUUGGUGGGGUAAUGGCCCACCAAGGCGACGAUGCAUAGCCGACCUGAGAGGGUGAUCGGCCACACUGGGACUGAGACACGGCCCAGACUCCUACGGGAGGCAGCAGUAGGGAAUCUUCCACAAUGGACGAAAGUCUGAUGGAGCAACGCCGCGUGAGUGAUGAAGGUUUUCGGAUCGUAAAACUCUGUUGUAAGGGAAGAACAAGUACGAGAGGGAAUGCUCGUACCUUGACGGUACCUUG
rnacentral:rRNA from 1 species